rnacentral:rRNA from 1 species
GGAACCUUCCCCCUGCCUUAUACAUGCAAGUCGAGCGAAUGGAUUAAGAGCUUGCUCUUAUGAAGUUAGCGGCGGACGGGUGAGUAACACGUGGGUAACCUGCCCAUAAGACUGGGAUAACUCCGGGAAACCGGGGCUAAUACCGGAUAACAUUUUGAACCGCAUGGUUCGAAAUUGAAAGGCGGCUUCGGCUGUCACUUAUGGAUGGACCCGCGUCGCAUUAGCUAGUUGGUGAGGUAACGGCUCACCAAGGCAACGAUGCGUAGCCGACCUGAGAGGGUGAUCGGCCACACUGGGACUGAGACACGGCCCAGACUCCUACGGGAGGCAGCAGUAGGGAAUCUUCCGCAAUGGACGAAAGUCUGACGGAGCAACGCCGCGUGAGUGAUGAAGGCUUUCGGGUCGUAAAACUCUGUUGGUAGGGAAGAACAAGUGUUAGUUGAAUAAGCUGGGACCUUGACGAUACCUAACCAGAAAGCCACCGCUAACUACGUGCCAGCAGCCGCGGUAAUACGUAGAUGGGAA